UUCUAAGCCUUUCAGUCCUCCUAAGUGAGCAAGGCACCUUGUCUCUGCAUACCCUGCCAUAGCAGCUUGAAUAACACAGAGUAAAUAGAUCUCAUCAGAAGAAGGAGAGGCUUCUUGGGAAUGAUAAAACAACAAUUAAAGCAAGAACUGCCGGGCUGGCUGGGUGCCCCAAUGGCUGAAGAAAAGCCCAAGUAUAACUGCACUGUCAGUGAAGUCACAAUUGUGAACCUGCAGCCUGAGAAAAAUCCCAUUCUCGUCUUGGCAGGAGGAAAGCCAGGAAUUGAACGUAGGAACAUUGGCUUUAGACCUCCUUCUCCAAGGAUUUCAGAGAAGAUGUUAUCCCAGGGAGAGAAAAAAUUGUGGCCAGAAAAGGUGAAAAAAGAGGGAGCUUUGUCUCCCAUCCUGCAUCGUGUAAAUGAAUUGUGUGGCACAGAGAACAUCACCCUGAAGAGGCCAGUGAAGUUGGCCCCUCUAGAGAUCCCUGUGGAGGUGAAAGAAGCUCAGCUCCAAAAGAUUAUGAGCAUUAAGAGAGAAGCCCAAAUGGCUGCUCAGAAGCUGACAGUUAUCAACUCCAUCAGCAAUGAACCCCAUGUGAAAAGGGUAAAGAAUCUGGCUCAGGGGGAGCUGGAAAACCUUCAAAAGAUAAAGCUAAGUGAGAAGGCUGCUCUGGAGAAUAAAGAUGAUCCUCUACCCCCUAAAAGCAGUAAACCCCUGGGAGAAAUUCAAAUUAUUUUGCCUCCAGAGACAAAUUCCAAGUUGACUAAACAACUAGGUGUUGAAGAGGCUCCCAAAACACUCCGUAAACCAUUAAUCCCCACUCUCCAGGUUUCUGACAUGCACGAAGAGUCUAACACCUCUGACAGCAUCCCUGAUCCUUGCCAGAAUGUUUCUCAGCGCCGAUUCAGAGUAAGGCAUAUGAAAGAACAGCAAGAAGACCAUGGAAAAAACAAACCCUUAAAAGUCACAGAUCCAAGUGUGGGAGAAGGCAAGAAGAAAUCUGUGGGUCAACGAACACAAAAAACCCUCAGUGAUGCAAGCAAGCUCAUUGAAAAUGUGGCCAAAAAGCAGAAGGAACGAGGAGCAAAGCAAAGGGAAGUGGAUGAAGCCUCUUUUGUGAGGAAACAGUCUACUCGAAGGAUGGCCUUGGGAGACAUCAUCCAGGUGGAUGAAGACUGAGUGUCACACACCAUGUAAUGCAUAGGAACUUUAGAUACAACAGCUACCUAGAAAAAUGUUUUAGACUGACUGCUUAGACAGAAGUCUUCAGAGUGUCUGGAGACAUUAGUAGACCACAAAGUGAAAAUAAGUUAAUAUUGUUGAACACCUCUGUUAUUUCUGAGAUGCUCAAACAAGUGGUUUGUAGGGCAAAUAUCCUCCUCCUCUUCUCAACACUAGAAAGACUCCAGCUACAGUCCUGACUCCAGCAUGGAGUACAACUUUUCAAGACACAUGUGGACUAUGCAGGAAAAAUCUGGGUGUGGACUGGAUGGAGGGACCAAGAGAAAAACAGGAACCUGAAAAUAUUGUGUCUGGGGAAAGACGAGAAGAAAUAACAUAGUUUUCUCUUGAGAAUACAGCCCUCCUACCCUCCUACUUUCAGCUGUGGCAAGUUUGUUUCAGAAAGACAAGACUAAAAUGUUCUUCAUAUCCGUGGUUGGGAGAGCAAAAAGUAAUUAGCUUAAGAUUUAGAAAGAGACAUUUAAAUCAGAAAAGGAGGAAUACUUUUAAAGACAAUAAACAUGGAAGAAUGCUGUUUACAGAGAGGGGAAUCUCUGUCAUUGAGAUUUUAAAUAAUAUAUUAGACAAACACCUGCCAAGGAUGAUUUCAGAAGAGUUAAUCCUUCAUUCAGACACAACAAUGGCCAGAUGACCUGCAAUGUCCUUCAACUUUUCUAUUAUUGUAUGGUCUGUCUUUCCAGUUGUCUACUUGCAGGACUACCAACCAAGACAUGUAGUGCAAAAAUGUACAAUAAAAGUACAUGAUGAAGACAGUCAAAGACAGAGCAGAUGAGGUCUUGAAAGUUAUCUGAGUGUUUUUCUGCAUUCCAACAAUAUCAGAAAAUGUGAAAAUUUUUUUGUUUUUGUUUUAAUUACAUAUUCCUUAAUUGAUCUCUUAGUAAGAGAAAAGCCAGCAUCCAGAGAUUCUUCUGGAAUUCAUUCUUGUGUAUUUCUUGCUGAAAACAUAUUACCAGGAUUGAAACUAUGCCCAGGUUUGUGACAGCGGCAGUUGCAGUACUUAAACAAAUCAGUCACCUUGUGACUUGUCACCAGCUUUAUCUGUCAAUUUUCUGUGGUGAGAGUAACUGGGGAAUGAGGGCUCAGAGAUAUGCAAGCCAGAUAUUUCAAGUUGAGUAAGGACUGCUGUAAUAGUUCAACACAAAGAAGGCAAUUAAAAUUAGACACUAAACCAGGAAAAAAAAAAUGUAAGAGGUAAAUCUUCCUUGUGAUGUCUGGGCAGUAAGGACAAAUAUUAAUUUAACUCAUAAACUCAGCUGCAUCUCUGACUCGCUGCACCUACUUAAUAGUGAAUGUGAAACUGCAAUCCAAAUGUGUUUCGGCGACAUCUCACAAGUUCCCAGCAGGAAACUAUUUCAGACAGUAUUAAUGUGAUCUCCAAAGAAUAUGCUACUGAGAUUUGCCAUGUACAAUAGAAGAGGGAUGCCAUAUACAGUAGGAGGGUUGUUGAGUUUAGUCUGGGUUACCUGAGCUGUUGCCCUUCGUUAAGCCACGAUGUAAGAAGGUUCCUCAAAUGGGUGUUGGAGCCCACCUGGUUGAGACUCCUGCCUUGGAAAUACAAUGAUAACCCAGCUAGCAUGAACAACCUCCAAUUGUCUGGAACCAUGGGAAGGUCACUACAUAUAUCAGAAAGACUUGUUAUUGCUAUACUCCUUUACCUAGCUCUUUUAGUGUAACUAAAUGCAUUAAAUCAUGUGUCCAGGAACAACUGAAGUGUUAAUUUAAAAAUGUAAAACAGUGAGAUUUAAAAGGACUUGGAAGUCCCAACUUUGCCCUGUAGCUGCAGUGGCAAAUUUUUGUUGGAUGCAUGGGCAGAAGAGUUUUGAUUUGGGGAAGGGACUAAAAAACUUUUUCACCUCCAGCAUUAGCAAGGUCAUUACUGAAAUGGUGUCUCCAGGAGCCAGUGUCCAGCUUUACAUGGAAUUUCAGGUUGUGUCCCAUGCUUCAUAAAGCAUCUUCACUUAUUGGAAAGGUGCUAGAAGGCUAAUCUGAAUUCUGAAAAACCUUACCUUCCAUGUGACAGGGAAGAAGUCUGAUCUGUAGUUUAAACAAGGUUCUUUAAGAAGAAGG